CACCUGACCCCAUCCCGAACUCAGAAGUGAAACGUGUCAUCGCCGAUGGUAGUUUGGGGUUUCCCCAUGCGAGAGUAGGUCAUCGCCA
rnacentral:rRNA from 1 species